rnacentral:rRNA from 1 species
AACGAACGCUGGCGGCAUGCCUAACACAUGCAAGUCGAACGAGACCUUCGGGUCUAGUGGCGCACGGUGCGUAACGCGUGGGAACCUGCCUUUAGGUUCGGAAUAACUCAGAGAAAUUUGAGCUAAUACCGGAUAAUGUCUUCGGACCAAAGAUUUAUCGCCUUUAGAUGGGCCCGCGUAAGAUUAGCUAGUUGGUGGGGUAAAGGCCUACCAAGGCGACGAUCUUUAGCUGGUCUGAGAGGAUGAUCAGCCACACUGGGACUGAGACACGGCCCAGACUCCUACGGGAGGCAGCAGUGGGGAAUAUUGGACAAUGGGCGAAAGCCUGAUCCAGCAAUGCCGCGUGAGUGAUGAAGGCCUUAGGGUUGUAAAGCUCUUUUACCCGAGAUGAUAAUGACAGUAUCGGGAGAAUAAAGCUCCGGCUAACUCCGUGCCAGCAGCCGCGGUAAU